CACGAAGUUAGCCGGUGCUUAUUCUGUCGGUAACGUCAAAACACUAACGUAUUAGGUUAAUGCCCUUCCUCCCAACUUAAAGUGCUUUACAAUCCGAAGACCUUCUUCACACACGCGGCAUGGCUGGAUCAGGCUUUCGCCCAUUGUCCAAUAUUCCCCACUGCUGCCUCCCGUAGGAGUCUGGACCGUGUCUCAGUUCCAGUGUGACUGAUCAUCCUCUCAGACCAGUUACGGAUCGUCGCCUUGGUGAGCCAUUACCUCACCAACUAGCUAAUCCGACCUAGGCUCAUCUGAUAGCGCAAGGCCCGAAGGUCCCCUGCUUUCUCCCGUAGGACGUAUGCGGUAUUAGCGUUCCUUUCGAAACGUUGUCCCCCACUAUCAGGCAGAUUCCUAGGCAUUACUCACCCGUCCGCCGCUGAAUCAGAGAGCAAGCUCUCUUCAUCCGCUCGACUUGCAUGUGUUAGGCCUGCCGCCAGCGUUCAAUCUGAGCC
rnacentral:rRNA from 1 species